AACGAACGCUGGCGGCAUGCCUAACACAUGCAAGUCGAACGAGACCUUCGGGUCUAGUGGCGCACGGGUUCGUAACGCGUGGGAACCUGCCCUUAUGGUCGGCAUAACUCCCCGACAGGGGUGCUAAUACCGGAUAAUGUCUUCUGACCAAAGAUUUAUCGCCUUUGGAUGGGCCCGCGUUUCAUUAGCUAGUGGGUAAGGUAAAAGCCUACCAAGGCGACGAUGCGUAACUGGCCAGAGAGGAUGAUCAGCCACACUGGAACUGAGACACGGUCCAGACUCCUGGGGGAGGCAGCAGGCGGGAAUCCUCCGCGAUGGGCGAAAGGGGGAAGGUGGAACACCGGGUGAAUGAUGAAGCCCUUCGGGCCGUAGAAGUCUGUAAGUAUGGAGGAUCAUAAGUGUAUUUAACCGGGCAUAUCAUGACGGUACCUGGGCAAAAAGCCCCGGCUAACUACGUG
rnacentral:rRNA from 1 species